rnacentral:rRNA from 1 species
ACGUAGGGUCCAAGCGUUAUCCGGAAUUACUGGGUAUAAAGGGUGCGUAGGCGGUCUUGUGCGUCGAAGGUUAAAGGCCAUGGCUCAACCAUGGAAAUGCCCUCGAUACGGCAAGACUUGAGUAUGAGAGAGGAAGAUGGAAUUCCUGGUGUAGCAGUGAAAUGCGUAGAUAUCAGGAGGAACACCGGUGGCGAAGGCGGUCUUCUGGCUCAUUACUGACGCUGAGGCACGAAAGUGUGGGGAGCAAACAGG